ACCUGCAGCCCUUUGCUGCAGCGAGGCCCCAGGAGAGGAGAGGACCUGUCACAGGUCCUUGUGUCCAGCCUCCGCUGGGCAUGGGGCACACCAGAGGACAAACAGGAUAAUCCAGACCACUCAACGCUACAGUAUUUCAACGGGAAGAAGUAAAGUUCCCCACGCUGCGCACCUGGUACUCCACGGUAAACGGGGAGCUACUGUGCAUUACUAAGAGACAGGCUCCUUCCAAGGAGGUUCUGCUGGCACACCCACGUGCACGACAGCUUAAGCCAACGCCAGUCACGGCGAACAGUUAGAGUCACACUGACGACUGAGGCACCCGGAGAGUCGCCUGAGACUGCAUCAUCCCGUCACCUCACAGCUUCACUGCCGGAUGAUCUGACUUCAGGCAACUCCCUCCCAGGGGAUUUCACCACUAAGUGUGCUGAUUUUCACCUACUCUCCCGUUUCCCGCUCUGCACCUGUUCCACCCUGGGUUCCCAAGUCUGGCUCAGCUUGCCAAGAGCAGCACUGUCCUGCAGAACUUUCCACGGUGGUGGAAGGGCUCUACUCUGAGCUGUCAAAUAAGGUAGCUUCAGCCACAUACAGUGACUGAAGCCUGGAAAUGUGCUUCCUGCAACCAAGGAACUAAAAGUUUAAUUUCAUUUUACUUGGGUUAAUUUAAACAGCCCCGCGUGGACAGUGCAGGAUGUGGAACUCAGCUGCAGCCUCCCCUGCGUUCCACCUGGCUGGGGGUAAGGGGUGCCCGGCCACGUGGACGGGGAAGAAGGUGAAUACAAAACACAGAAUUUCAAAGCAAGGUCAAUGUUUCCCAAAAAAACUUGAGCUUUGGAAAUGUAACAUUUAUUAAUAUUUGAUACUAAUACUUUUAUUAAAAUCAACAUCCAUAAAGUCAAAGAGAGA